rnacentral:rRNA from 1 species
AUUGAACGCUGGCGGCAGGCCUAACACAUGCAAGUCGAGCGGAUGAAGGGAGCUUGCUCCUGGAUUCAGCGGCGGACGGGUGAGUAAUGCCUAGGAAUCUGCCUGGUAGUGGGGGAUAACGUCCGGAAACGGGCGCUAAUACCGCAUACGUCCUGAGGGAGAAAGUGGGGGAUCUUCGGACCUCACGCUAUCAGAUGAGCCUAGGUCGGAUUAGCUAGUUGGUGGGGUAAAGGCCUACCAAGGCGACGAUCCGUAACUGGUCUGAGAGGAUGAUCAGUCACACUGGAACUGAGACACGGUCCAGACUCCUACGGGACGCAGCAGUGGGGAAUAUUGGACAAUGGGCGAAAGCCUGAUCCAGCCAUGCCGCGUGUGUGAAGAAGGUCUUCGGAUUGUAAAGCACUUUAAGUUGGGAGGAAGGGCAGUAAGUUAAUACCUUGCUGUUUUGACGUUACCAACAGAAUAAGCACCGGCUAACUUCGUG